GCUAGUUGCGCGGGUUAGACCCGCGGCGAAAAGCUCAGUAACACGUGGCCAAACUACCCUACGGAGAGGCACAACCUCGGGAAACUGAGGCUAAUUCCUCACAAGGCUCCCAGGCUGGAGUGCCGGGAGCUGGAAACGCUCAGGCGCCGUAGGACGUGGCUGCGGCCGAUUAGGUAGACGGNGGGGUAACGGCCCACCGUGCCCAUAAUCGGUACGGGUUGUGAGAGCAAGAGCCCGGAGACGGAAUCUGAGACAAGAUUCCGGGCCCUACGGGGCGCAGCAGGCGCGAAACCUUUACACUGCACGACAGUGCGAUAGGGGGACUCCGAGUGCGAGGGCAUAUCGUCCUCGCUUUUGUACACCGUAAGGAGGUGUACGAAUAAGGGCUGGGCAAGACCGGUGCCAGCCGCCGCGGUAAUACCGGCAGCCCGAGUGAUGGCCGCUAUUAUUGGGCCUAAAGCGUCCGUAGCC
rnacentral:rRNA from 1 species